CGGACGGGUGAGUAAUGUCUGGGAAACUGCCUGAUGGAGGGGGAUAACUACUGGAAACGGUAGCUAAUACCGCAUAACGCCGCAAGACCAAAGAGGGGGACCUUCGGGCCUCUUGCCAUCGGAUGUGCCCAGAUGGGAUUAGCUAGUAGGUGGGGUAACGGCUCACCUAGGCGACGAUCCCUAGCUGGUCUGGGAGGAUGACCAGCCACACUGGAACUGAGACACGGUCCAG
rnacentral:rRNA from 1 species